CACACAUUGUAUCUGAAUGACUUCGGAGAUAAUACAUUUUUAUUUUGAGUUUUAAGCAAGAGACAUCAAUGUAACAUUGUCAAUAUUUUAUUGAAGUAUAUAGGGAAUAUUUAACUUGUUUCAGAUUAAUGUCAUCACAAGAUCUGUUUGAUUCUAGCGAUUCAGAUGUUGAAACGCAGCCCCCUUCUGACUCAGUUGUAAUAAUUUCAGACGAAGACGGUAAUCAUAUUGAAGGCGGAGAAUUAACAUUUGCAUCGAUAAGAGCUAGAUAUGAUUAUGAGGACAUAAAUGUAGAGUCAAAUAUACUAACGCCUGGUGCUUCUGCUGUGGAUACCAGUGAUACUGUUUCACGCAAGCCUGAAAAUUCUGAGAGUUUGGACUUUGGCAGUUAUGAUGAUUAUAAGCCACCAGCUAAAAGCUUAUUAACAAGACGCAAUCGAAAAAGAAAGAGAGAGGAAUUAGCCGCCCCUUCAUGAAACACCGCAGUCUGUAGUGCAGACGUCAUUACCUGGAACGUCACAAAGAUAUAAACCUCGACAUCAGAGAAGUGCAAGCUGGCCGAGUGCUGCUAUAGGUACCUCCAGUAAGAGCUUGUAGAAAAGUCUAAAUCACAGAGAAGUCAGCCCUCAGAGGAGACAGAUAAACCAAAAGACCAGUCAGAAAAGCCCCAAGAGCAAACAGAAAAACAGCCAAAAAGGAAGAGACAGAAAAAAUCAAAGUGUUAGAAAGUUAGUGCUUUUAAUUACU
rnacentral:lncRNA from 1 species